rnacentral:rRNA from 1 species
CAUCGACUUUCGACGGCAUUGCGGUCCCGGAUCUCGUUCCCGGACCACGCCUGGCUGAG